rnacentral:rRNA from 1 species
GAUGAACGCUGGCGGCGUGCCUAACACAUGCAAGUCGAGCGAGGGUUUGCUCAGUAUUGAGUAUUCUAAAACUAGAAUGUUCAAUUCUGAGCAAAACCAAGCGGCGGACGGGUGAGUAACGCGUGGGUAACCUGCCCUAUACACAUGGAUAACAUACUGAAAAGUUUACUAAUACAUGAUAAUAUAUAUUUGCGGCAUCGCAGAUAUAUCAAAGUGUUAGCGGUAUAGGAUGGACCCGCGUCUGAUUAGCUAGUUGGUGAGAUAACUGCCCACCAAGGCGACGAUCAGUAGCCGACCUGAGAGGGUGAUCGGCCACAUUGGAACUGAGACACGGUCCAAACUCCUACGGGAGGCAGCAGUGGGGAAUAUUGCACAAUGGGCGAAAGCCUGAUGCAGCAACGCCGCGUGAACGAUGAAGGUCUUCGGAUCGUAAAGUUCUGUUGCAGGGGAAGAUAAUGACGGUACCCUGUGAGGAAGCCCCGGCUAACUACGUGCCAGCAGCCGCGGUAAUACGUAGGGGGCUAGCGUUAUCCGGAUUUACUGGGCGUAAAGGGUGCGUAGGUGGUCCUUCAAGUCGGUGGUUAAAGGCUACGGCUCAACCGUAGUAAGCCGCCGAAACUGGAGGACUUGAGUGCAGGAGAGGAAAGUGGAAUUCCCAGUGUAGCGGUGAAAUGCGUAGAUAUUGGGAGGGACACCAGUAGCGAAGGCGGCUUUCUGGACUGCAACUGACACUGAGGCACGAAAGCGUGGGUAGCAAACAGG